rnacentral:rRNA from 1 species
GACGAACGCUGGCGGCGUGCUUAACACAUGCAAGUCGAGCGGUAAGGCCCUUUCGGGGGUACACGAGCGGCGAACGGGUGAGUAACACGUGGGUGACCUGCCCUCAGCUCUGGGAUAAGCCUGGGAAACUGGGUCUAAUACUGGAUAUGACUCCACGGUGCAUGUCGUGGGGUGGAAAGCCUUGUGCGGCUGAGGAUGGGCCCCGCGGCCUAUCAGCUUGUUGGUGGGGUGANGGCCUACCAAGGCGACGACGGGUAGCCGGCCUGAGAGGGCGACCGGCACACUGGGACUGAGACACGGCCCAGACUCCUACGGGAGGCAGCAGUGGGGAAUCUUGCGCAAUGGGCGAAAGCCUGACGCAGCGACGCCGCGUGAGGGAUGAC